AUAAAUGAUUGAUUUAUACCAUUUUACUUCAUUUUAUAUUUUAUUACAACAUAACAAACAUGUCUUUGAGAAGAGUUAUUCUAUUGUUACUUAUAAAAGUCGUUUGUCUUGCAACAAGUAACAGUACAGCAUCAAGUAAUGACAAUAUAUUUAACAAUUUAAUGGCACUCUCCACGAAAGGUUUCGCAAAAGCUUACCUGUUAUAGCAAAUGGGAUUUCUAAGAAACACAAUGUAUAUAUUGUAUAUAACACGAUGGUAAAUGAUAUUAUCCACUGUUUUAAAUAAAAUAAUAAACAUAUCAA